UGGGGAAUAUUGGACAAUGGGGGCAACCCUGAUCCAGCAAUGCCGCGUGUGUGAAGAAGGUUUUCGGAUUGUAAAGCACUUUCGGCGGGGACGAUGAUGACGGUACCCGCAGAAGAAGCCCCGGCUAACUUCGUGCCAGCAGCCGCGGUAAUACGAAGGGGGCUAGCGUUGCUCGGAAUGACUGGGCGUAAAGGGCGUGUAGGCGGUUUGUACAGUCAGAUGUGAAAUCCCCGGGCUUAACCUG
rnacentral:rRNA from 1 species